rnacentral:rRNA from 13 species
GGCAGCGUCGACCUGCAGCCAAGCUUUUCACUGGCCGGGAUCCCAUAAGAACUCCGAAGUUAAGCCUGCUUGGGCGAGAGUAGUACUAGGAUAGGUGACCUCCUAGGAAGUCCUUGUGUUGCAUUCC